GUGGUAAUGCCGGAUGCUCCAGUUGGAUGCAUGUCCUUCUGGGAAAGAUUCAUCGGUAUGGGAUGGGGUCGCGUCCUAUCAGCUUGAUGGCGGGGUAACGGCCCACCAUGGCUUCGACGGGUAGCCGGCCUGAGAGGGCGACCGGCCACAUUGGGACUGAGAUACGGCCCAGACUCCUACGGGAGGCAGCAGUGGGGAAUAUUGCACAAUGGGCGCAAGCCUGAUGCAGCGACGCCGCGUGCGGGAUGACGGCCUUCGGGUUGUAAACCGCUUUUGACUGGGAGCAAGCCCUUCGGGGUGAGUGUACCUUUCGAAUAAGCACCGGCUAACUACGUGCCAGCAGCCGCGGUAAUACGUAGGGUGCAAGCGUUAUCCGGAAUUAUUGGGCGUAAAGGGCUCGUAGGCGGUUCGUCGCGUCCGGUGUGAAAGUCCAUCGCUUAACGGUGGAUCCGCGCCGGGUACGGGCGGGCUUGAGUGCGGUAGGGGAGACUGGAAUUCCCGGUGUAACGGUGGAAUGUGUAGAUAUCGGAAAA
rnacentral:rRNA from 1 species